rnacentral:misc_RNA from 1 species
GAACAGAGGUGAAGUAAUAAAGCCGAACGAUCGAGUCGUCCCUUUUCGAUUACGACCAGCAAGCAGACAACAUCUUCUUUCAUUUAACUCCGACCGAUACCUGUCUUUCGCGUGGUUAUCAGUGGCGACGGGGAUAUUGGAAGUUUUUGCUUACUGUCCGGGAGUUUGGUAAAAUCGGGUAAUUAAAACACGCAGUGAAAACGGCGAACUACAACCGUGGAUGUGCGGUGGGCCGGCAGAAAUCCGGAAAAAAGGUGUGCAGCACGUAAUAAUCGUUUAACAUAGCGGAAAACGUCCGGCGGAAGGCUGUUCCGGUAGAACUUUCUACGGUUCCGGCUGGGGUUCUCGCGUUGAAAGGUGGUGUGUGCUGCGGAGGAACAAAAGGACGACGCCAUUUUGUUGGAGCUGGUCCGACAUUGGUAAAGCAGGCGGUGCGCAUUAGUGGUUGCGUUUAAACGGUUCUUGGUCCGAGUCGUGCUAGCUUUACGUGAUUUUGGCCGGCAUCUGGGCGCAACAGGACAACGAGCUCGAUUGGUCAUCUGUGAGGACGCGCUGUGUAGUCUGGUGCGGUGGUACGACGCCAUUUUGUACGAUCGAGACAGUGAUUACCAGCGGAAGCUCGAGGACGUCGCUGUUGGAGGUGCUUGGAAGUCAUUGUUUGGCGUGACCUUGAGUUAAGUAGGCCAAAUAAGCUGGCAACGGCCGGAACAGGAGAAACGGGCAAAAUGAGCAUGGCAUCGAGUAUCGAGCAGUACCGCAAAGGCGCAGUCUUUGGAGAUUGGGCCGAUAGGCUAGAAUACACGUUUAAGGCCAACAAAGUGGAGGGUGAACUUAAAAAAUCACAUUUUAUGAACCUUUGUGGUCCGUUUAUCUAUUCUCAACUUAAACUUCUCUUCAAGAAGGAUGAAUUAGACAAAGCUGAUUAUGCUACCAUUGUGGCAAAACUCAAGCUUAAACUUGAUUUAGUUGAGCCUGACCUUGUACAACGGUUUCGGUUCAGUCAAAGAACGCAACAACCGGACGAAACCGCUGAGGAGUUUGUGCAAGCGGUCAAACUUCAAGCUGAGUUUUGUGGGUUUGAAAAUUUCAAAGAAGUUGCAAUCAUUGAUAGAGUUUUGGUUGGACUUAGUGAUGCUGUGUUGAAGGAAAAUCUUCUGAAGGAGGAAAAGUUGGAUUUGGCAAAAUUGGACAAGUUUAUCACUACAUGGAACAUUGCUAAACGCAAUGUACAUUCGCUUUUCAAUCAAAAUUCGUGCGCUAACUACAACUACCCUCCUCCGGAGAUGAUUAACCAAGUGAGAAGACCAGUUCACGAGCGUUUGGGCCAUCCCUACAAUCAAAGACAACACACACGCACACAAAACAAUGUCAAUAGACAGGGUAACGGUUUCAAUAGAUCGGGAAAUGGCUACAACAGAUCUGGUUACAACAACAACAACAACAAUCACAAUCGCACACAAAAUUCACAAAACACUCAACGUACAGUUCGAUUCCAAGGUGAUAACCGUAACAACACACAAAGAAACACAAACUACAGUAACAAUAACAGACUAAAUGGUCGUAACAACUACAACAAUUGGCCUAAGAGGGAUUAUUCAGAGAUGGAAUGUGAUUACUGCGGGGAAUUAGGUCAUAUAAAAAGAAAGUGUUUCACACUAAAAAAACCUGCGGCGAGAUGCGGUGAAUUUCAUCGAGGCCGUGAAGCCAGGGACUAGUGCGGAAAAGGAGUUGUCAGAUCUGAUGGGGCGCAUGAGGACAACGGAUGUUCCUAGGGCGGAGACAUCGGAUGAUGAAAGCUACUCCGAGUGGAAUCCAGAUACAAAUUGGAAACGCGGUGCUAAUCGCGCAGCGCGGACAGCUUAGGGAGC